AGAGGCCUGGCACCGCAUAGCACACUGGUAGAAGGUACUCCUAUUAGAUUCUACAUGGACAAGUGGACGUGAUUGGCGUGGGAUGUAGAUGAAGAAGAAGAAGAAGAAGAAGAAGAAGAAGAAGAAGAAGAAGAAGAAGAAGAAGAAGAAGAAGAAGAAGAAGAAGAAGAAGAAGAAGAA